UUGUAGUCUGCAACCCGACUACAUGAAGCUGGAAUCGCUAGUAAUCGCGGAUCAGAAUGCCGCGGUGAAUACGUUCCCGGGUCUUGUACACACCGCCCGUCACACCAUGGGAGUCGGAAAUGCCCGAAGUCGGUGACCGAACCGAAAGGAAGGAGCCGCCGAAGGCAGGUCUGGUGACUGGGGUGAAGUCGUAACAAGGUACC
rnacentral:rRNA from 1 species